ACUUUGUACUCGAGUCUCGUUCCCGCUGACGUCACAUAUUGCGUAAAUUUUUGGUACUGAGAACCGUCAGGAUGGUGUUUGAUUUUACAUAGAGCAAUAUACCAAAAAUCAAUAGAUCAGAUCAGAUUUUGUAAUUUAGAUAUGAUAAGAAUAAUUAUCAUUAAUAAUUUAAAGCGCUACAGGUUGAUGUGCAUCUUUUUUGUAAGCCCUUGCAAACAUUUUUAUUCGUUUCCGAAAUCCCGUUCGAGUUAUCUCCCGCGAUAACUCAUAUGCAGACAGACUGAAUUUUCUCUAGCUGCAAAGUUAUGUACAUCGGCACUGACUGAUCAGUGAUGCAAGCCAGCAGAAACUUUACAUCAACAUCACCAAGAUGUGUCCGAUCUAUCGUACGAUUAUAUACUCAGCGAUUGAAAAGUCGUGAUCCUGGAUAGGAGAGGAGCGGAUCGUCAACAUGCAGGGUUGUUUUAAGAUCCGAAGCAAUGUUACACAGACAGAAGAAUAGGUGAAUGCUGCUCCAGUAUAUGUUGUAUAUAUGAUGGCUAUAACAAUAACAUACAUGUAUAUCACUUGGGAAAUCAUGCACAACAAACUGUCCAUAUGAUGAUACCAUGGUGACAAAAAUAUUUAAAUAUGGAGAGGGAUAAAGAGACAUGCUACAGAAGAAGGAAGAUAAAGGCACAUGAUACAGACACCAGAGUGAUUACACCAACAUCAGUCCAAUAACAUUGGUACACACUGAAACUUGAGACCACAAAGGCCUGGAUUCUUUUGAAAUAUACUGUCAUCUGUGCAAUAUCACUUGGAAUCAUGGAAAACUUGUAUCACAGUGUUAACAAUUUUCAGUGAAUUUUCAUUGUCUAGCAUAGAAAUAAUGAAUUUUAUGUUUGAAUAUAUA